GACGAACCGUGCGAACGUUGUUCGGAAUCACUGGGCUUAAAGGGCGCGUAGGCGGGUUCCCAAGUCCGGGGUGAAAUCUUUCGGCUCAACCGGAAAAUAGCCUUGGAUACUGGGAGUCUCGUGGGAGGUAAGGGCAGCGGGAACUUCCGGUGGAGCGGUGAAAUGCGUUGAUAUCGGAAGGAACGCCGGUGGCGAAAGCGCGCUGCUGGACCUCUGCUGACGCUGAGGCGCGAAAGCCAGGGGAGCAAACGGG
rnacentral:rRNA from 1 species